GGGGCACGCCGGGAAAUGUAGUGCGGAAGUGAUCGGAGGUUUGACGGGAGCGGGGGGAGGUGACGGGACCGGGCCGGCCCGGUUCGGUUCGGUUCGCUCCGCCACACGGGCCAGGAGCUCGGCGAGAGCUUCGUUCCCUCCUGGGGACAGGUCUGAAGGGGGCAGCACCCAGGGCUGGAGGAAGGAAGGAAGGACUGCUCUGUUGCUACCCCUCCACCUGGGGGUUCUCCUCAUCUUCCCUGAGCCACCAUGCACAACAAAUCAGCAGCAUUUUCCUCAUCUGAUGGAUUAAAACCAACUGCACCCAGCAACACCAGUACAGAAACUUGGCAAGCUUCUGUCUCUAGCCAGGUCCAUCACAUUUCUGGCA